AUUGAACGCUGGCGGCAGGCCUAACACAUGCAAGUCGAGCGGAUGAAGGGAGCUUGCUCCUGGAUUCAGCGGCGGACGGGUGAGUAAUGCCUAGGAAUCUGCCUGGUAGUGGGGGAUAACGUCCGGAAACGGGCGCUAAUACCGCAUACGUCCUGAGGGAGAAAGUGGGGGAUCUUCGGACCUCACGCUAUCAGAUGAGCCUAGGUCGGAUUAGCUAGUUGGUGGGGUAAAGGCCUACCAAGGCGACGAUCCGUAACUGGUCUGAGAGGAUGAUCAGUCACACUGGAACUGAGACACGGCCAGACUCCUACGGGAGGCAGCAGUGGGGAAUAUUGGACAAUGGGCGAAAGCCUGAUCCAGCCAUGCCGCGUGUGUGAAGAAGGUCUUCGGAUUGUAAAGCACUUUAAGUUGGGAGGAAGGGCAGUAAGUUAAUACCUUGCUGUUUUGACGUUACCAACAGAAUAAGCACCGGCUAACUUCGUG
rnacentral:rRNA from 1 species